rnacentral:rRNA from 1 species
GUGCAGCAGGCGAGAAUUUUUCUCAAUGGGGGAAACCCUGAAGGAGCGACGCCGCGUGGAGGAUGAAGGCUUUCGGGUUGUAAACUCCUGUCAUUUGAGAACAAGUGCUAGUAACUAACUACUGCUAGCUUGAUAGUAUCAGAAGAGGAAGGGACGGCUAACUCUGUGCCAGCAGCCGCGGUAAUACAGAGGUCCCAAGCGUUGUUCGGAUUCAUUGGGCGUAAAGGGUGCGUAGGUGGCGCCGUAAGUGGGGUGUGAAAUUUCGGAGCUCAACUCCGAAACUGCAUUCCAUACUGCGGUGCUUGAGGACUGGAGAGGAGACUGGAAUUUACGGUGUAGCAGUGAAAUGCGUAGAGAUCGUAAGGAAGAUCAGUGGCGAAGGCGGGUCUCUGGACAGUUCCUGACACUGAGGCACGAAGGCUAGGGGAGCAAACGGGAUUAGAUACCUGUGUAGU